rnacentral:rRNA from 1 species
AAUCUUAGGCAAUGGGGGCAACCCUGAUCUAGCCAUGCCGCGUGAGUGAUGAAGGCCUNAGGGUUNUNAAGCUCUUUCAGCUGUGNCGAUAAUGACGGUAGUCGGAGAAGAAGCCCCGGCUAACUUCGUGCCAGCAGCCGCGGUAAUACGAAGGGGGCUAGCGUUGUUCGGAUUUACUGGGCGUAAAGCGCACGUAGGCGGAUUGGUCAGUUAGAGGUGAAAUCCCGAAGCUCAACUUCGGAACUGCCUUUAAUACUGCCAGUCUCGAGUCCGGAAGAGGUAAGUGGAACUCCUAGUGUAGAGGUGGAAUUCGUAGAUAUUAGGAAGAACACCAGUGGCGAAGGCGGCUUACUGGUCCGGAACUGACGCUGAGGUGCGAAAGCGUGGGGAGCAAACAG